UACGAAGGGGGCUAGCGUUGCUCGGAAUCACUGGGCGUAAAGGGUGCGUAGGCGGGUCUUUAAGUCAGAGGUGAAAUCCUGGAGCUCAACUCCAGAACUGCCUUUGAUACUGAGGAUCUUGAGUACGGGAGAGGUGAGUGGAACUGCGAGUGUAGAGGUGAAAUUCGUAGAUAUUCGCAAGAACACCAGUGGCGAAGGCGGCUCACUGGCCCGAUACUGACGCUGAGGCACGAAAGCGUGGGGAGCAAACAGG
rnacentral:rRNA from 1 species